CGCUAUCUGUAUGCAUUGUGAUAGUCAAUCUGCAAUUGGAAGGGCACUAAGCACAAUGUAUAAUGGGAAAUCUCGACACAUACGUCGACGACAUAAAACAUUGAGGAAACUUCUCUCUACUGGUAUUAUAUCAUUGCAAUACAUCAAAUCAGCAGCAAACCUAGCGGAUCCACUUACUAAAGGUUUGGAAAGAAAGCAAGUUGAGAAAUUUUCAAAGGGAAUGGGUUUACACAGCCUGUAAGCCAUGAGUCACCAUAAUAGCAACCCUACCUAGUUGACUGGAGAUCCCAAGAUCUAGGUUCAAAGGGAAAACAAAUUUAUGAGUGACUCACAAAAGCACUGUGGAGUAUACAACUCCUACUCAUUCCCAAUACGAAACAGUGCUCUUAGUAGAAAAGGUUAAGUUAUGCUUUUAAUGAUUCCUAUAUCUUGGGCAACCAAGUGGGAUAUGAAGGAUAUCCUUGAUAGGACAUCACCUAGAUGAAUGAAGAAGUGAGGCCGCUUCUAUGAGAAUGGUGAAGGCUGCAUUCUCUAAAGCAUUCAUCAACCCAGGAAUGUUCAAGGCCAAAAUGAACGCAACCGAGAACCAGUUUACGCAGAAAAAUAUUGUGUGAUAGUAGUUGUUUUGGUUUACACUAACGGCUGAACAGUUCAAGACAUCAAGUUCACUGGUUAGCCAAGUAAAUCCGAUGCUAUUCACUAGGGAUGGUUCAAAGCCUGGCUACCUCUCCCGAUGCAAUGUUUUUCUAAUAGCACACUCUCUCUCUCUCUCUUUUUCGAGUCUAUAGUGUCUGCAUUGUUUUACAAUUUUCAUUCAUGUGGGGGAUUGUUGGAAAUAUGUUAAAUCGAUUUCCAGGUGAAUGAGAAAUUGGUGGAAAGAACAAGUGUGUAUUAGAUUAAAUAUUAACUUGGGCCCAGGCCCAUAAGUGAUUGUUCUUUCAACCGACUCCUUGAAGAGGAAAACACCUGUUCUUCCAAAAGAGAAAUGGUGUAUCAACCAUUGUGAUGCCUUUUCACAAUAGUUGCGAUGGUUAAUGGAAUCGACAUCGCACCUCUUUGAAGAAACCAAUUCUCCUAUUCACACCUAUUUGAAGAUACCAAUUCUCCUAUAAAUUUACCCAUUCUCUCAUUAUUCUUUAAUCGAAAAUAUUCAUUUUCUCUUUGUUUACUUGCAUUCAAUUUGCAUAGUUGUAGUGUUAUUUUGAGAGAGUUUACUUCGUAUUACUGGUUCGCUGAUUCUCGGAGUUUGAAGUGCUGCUACUCCAAGAGGUACGAUCGUUGUAUCCUGGGAGACAAUCGCCAUUCACCGUGAGCAUCUAUGCGGGGCGAAUUUUGUCUUAAGGACAGAGAAGCAAUUUCUCGACUCGAUCAAUUCUGUUAAUUCCUUUUUUGUUUAAAUUUUCUUUGUUAUCUUACUUCUAUAGUCCCAUUCUAAUUUUAAUUUUUAGAUUAGUUUGCCUUAGAUUCAGUAUACAAGAUUCCGCAUCGCUACCAGAUAUAAAACAUGUUUACUCUUCUGAACAUGUAGUUCAAGUACUUCCACACUUCGAUCUAUACUCCUCUGCUCUGCAGCAUGGAUACUGGAUAGUACUGUAUAGCUAGUUCUGCAUACUUGCACCAAGCUGGUUUAUUAUUCUAAGGCUGUGUUUGAUAACGAAUUCCCGGUUCGAAAGUUUUUUUGGCAAAUCCGGCAAAGAAGCGGCAAAUGUCAGGUUUGCCGGGUCUUGGCAAACGAUUUAUCCGCAACAUUAUUUUGCCAUCGUUUGAUAACAAUUUUGCAAAAAGCAGAUAAAUCGCAAUUUGCCGGUUAGAAUGCAUUUGAAAACACAUUUGGCAAACCAUGUAACUAUAUUUGCCGGUUAGAUUGGUUUUGAUAAAACUUUCGAUUGUGGCAAAACCUAGUGGCAAAGUUGAAGGCCCAUUGGGCUGGUCGAAAAGAACAAGUCCAAACUUGAUUGGGCUGUGCAAAAGUGAUCACAUAUCACCCAAAAGUAUGGUAGAGUCACCCUAGUAACUCAAUAACAUUUCGCAAUAAAAAAAAACAAACAAAAAAAAUUACUCAACAAUAACACUCAUAAUAUAAUUAACGAAAUUAUAUACAUUCAUAAAACAUAGUUAUAUGUUUAUAUAAACAUAAUAAUAAAAAAAUUGUUAAAAAUGUCAUCAACACGGCCCCCAUAGUCAGACAAAGCAAAACAAAGAAAAACAAACAAUCAAGCAACCUGGUGAACACCCCACUAGACGACAUAUGGCGAAGCUAGAGUACCCGAACCUUCUCCUUCUUGUUCUUCCUCUUCUGGUUCGGUCUGGUCUCUAGCUGGACCUGAUUGGGGUCUCCCAAACCCAGCAGGCCAGGUCCGUGUCGCCGGUGCCGGUAUACGGCCGAAGAAAAGCCUUGGUCGUCGCCCAUCGGUAUGAUAAAUCUGGCAUCUGAUCCUCCCCAGGCCGUGGGUGUGACACAACCCCCAACACUCAAACAAAAUGGUGUCGCCUUCGUGGAGUCCCACUGAGUCGACGAAACACUUCCACCCAUUGUAGCGAAAGUACAAUGAACCGUGUUGGUCAUUGGCAAUGUCAAUGGCAAAAGAUUGUUCACCAGGCAAAAUUAGUACAACCCGGUUGCAGUUGUCGAAUAAGUAUUUGUUCGCAGCUGGGAUUUUCUGCCAUAUACCAACAAUAUAUAUCAACAUUACUAGGCAUGGUUAUAUAAAAUUUCUGCCAUGAAUCCAAACAGUUCUGUCCAACAAUUCCAUAUAUCAACAGUAUAUAUAAAAUUUCUGCCCUAUAUCAACAAUAUAUAUCAACAUUACUAGCCACAUAUCAAACAGUUCUGUCGAACAAUUAUUCCAUACAUCAACAGUAUAUAUCAAACAGUUUUCUGCACGUGUAGCAGCCCAUAUAUAUGUGCACAUUUCUUGCCAUAUAUAUCAACAUUACUAGCCAUCACUGCGAGGCCCAACUAACAGCCCAAAGCCCAUCAUUUUAUCUAUGUCCAUACAUAAUUAGGAAUUUGCUUACCAUUACGCAUCCCUUGGUUACAUGUCCCUUUGUAACUUGCUUGACCCAGAAAGGGUUAUCUCUCACGAUGGGCCUCAAGUUGUGUAUUACUCAGCAUACGUAAAGAAUGCUACACAUGAUGAGCAACAAUUUGUUGCAAUUAGACUAGCAAUGUUCCAUACAAAAUAUAAGCAACCAUUUGUUACACGACAAUGUUAAUCCGCAACGGCGUAAGUCAAUAUGUUCCAUACACAAGAUAAUUAAUACAAAGCACUUUACGACCAUUACAUGAUAAGGAAUACAAAGCACUUCACGACCAUUACUGAAUUCAUAUCAAAACGAAAGUUACAAUACUAUUUGAAAAUGUGUGUUACAUAUUACAUAAUCAAUGAAAAUGUGUCUUACAUAUAACAUAAAUGUCUAGUCACGACUACAACAAUCACAGUAAUUGGCACAAUCCCACGUACAUGGGUUGCCUAAGCAGUGCAAACAAACACCAUCUUCAGGUGGUGGUAAAGAAAUGUGCUUCCAAUAGUUUGCGCAAUCACCAUGACAAGGGUUUUGAAGACAUUUUGCACAAAUCAUCUCAAGGUCUCCUCCAGAUGGUGGCGAUACAUGAAAUGGAUACAAGAAUAUAAUUCCUGGGCAUGCUUGAUUAGCGCAUUUUGCAAAACAUACCCAUUGCUUGUCAUUGUUUCCCAUUCCCUUGUGCAUUUUCAUCAAACCAUCGCACCCAAGGUUGUCACAAUGCAUGAAUGGUUCGAUUAUUGGCAAACAAGGGAGGAAUUCAAACCGCCCGUAUUGGUUAAUUUUGUAUAAAUUGCACGCUUCUCGGAUCCUUUCAUCUUCGUUAGUGAUAAUAGUUCGUUUUAGGCGGAUGAAGUCUAUUAAACUAACCAAUAUCUCUGUGCACUCCCAAAUGUCUUGAAAUCGACUAGCUAAGUGGCCUAGUUCCUUUCUUUCAACAACUCCCUCCAUCUCGUGGAAACGAGCCGAAAUAUCUGUCCAAUAACUUGUACCGGCAUGAUUAACCGGAGGACAAGUGUAUAUCGAUACCCACGCGAAACACAAGUUCACGUCUUCCUUAGGAGUCCACCACACCAUUAUCUGAGUUUGAUUCUAAUCCUAACACAAUGUCAGAUAACGUUCUAAUACAAUGAAGCAUUGACUUUACAAAAUAUGAUAAAAAUUAUAAUAUUACCAAAACAUUAUACAGUACAUGUUUUUCAUAAAACAAUUACCACCUACUCAUAGAUGUCGAAUGAAGACAGUUACCACCGACAUCCAGUUUUUUAUAAAACACUUUUUAAACCUCACGCAAACACUCUUUGCCUACAAUCGAUACUUUGCUGAUAGUUCCAAGUACACCGGGUACGCUGGAACAUACAUGUUUCUAAUAUGUGUGUAAUACUCAGGUAUCUCUUCCUCAAGGGCAAUCCAGUCAUCGUCCGUUGCAAUCACCGUACUUCUUUCAUUGUCCCAAUGAAAUCCUGGAUGCUCUUCACACAACUCAUUGAUAAGGUUCGCCAAACGUUUCAAAUAACGCAAACGACCCCAUAUGUUUUCAGCACACAAAUCCAGCCUAGUGUGUUGAUUUAAAACAUCAGAAGCCUUUACCAUUCCCGACCUAAGACGGACCAUAAGUGGACCUGGUGUCUCGUCUGCCAGCAUAGCAGUGCACAUCGUGUGGUCCGUAUCUGGAGUCCACGCGAACAAACGCCGUCCUAGACGGGGAUUUUUUGGGGUGUGAAUAAUUCGCACCAUUCCCACUGACUGAAAUAAUUCAUCGCAGUCAGUUUACAUUAGACACAUACAACUACAACAUAUAUAUAUAUUCUGAACUCGACACAACUCGACAACACAAAGUACUAAAAUGUGACAAGAAUAUUUAAGGACUAAAGCAUUCCCACUGACUGGAACAAUCCAUCGCAGUCAGUUUACAUCACACACAUACAACUGGUUCCUCUCUAUAUAUAUAUUCUGAACUCGACACAACUCGACAACACAAAGUACUAAAAUGUGACAAGAAUAUUUAAGGACUAAAGCAUUCCCACUGACUGGAACAAUCCAUCGCAGUCAGUUUACAUCACACACAUACAACUGGUUCCUCUAUAUAUAUUUUCGGAACCCGACACAACUCGACAACACAAAGUAAUAAAAUGUGACAAGAAUAUUUCAGGACUAAACCAUUCAAGCCAUUCAGAUAAACAAAAGUUCAAACCAUAGAUAGAUAAGAAAAGAAGUCAUAUCUGUUUUACAUUAGUUUAUACAAACCACUGACAAAGUUAACUAGUUUAGACAAAGUUAAGAAAAUGCAGUCAUAUCAGUUCCCCAGGAUUAUCAAGACACACAUCAAGACAGAUGAAGACAACUACGAAUCAGCCCACUCAUCCCCAUUGAAAGGCUUAACAUAGUUAAGCUUAUCAACCAACCAAUCAGCCCUCAGAUCAGCGUCCAUCCCAAGAAAUAUCUUCGCUUGCUUGUCCUCGACACCUAGAAAGUCGAGACCCUUCAGAUACAGGACUCUGUCCCCCUUGCUUACAACCUUGAUUGCAUCACACAAUUCAUCGAUGUUCGGACCAGCAAAUGCCGUUGCCAAGGUCUUAACAGCAUCCAUGAUGCCCUGUGCAUACUCAGAGUUGCUUGGUUGUUCCUGGGGUCCGAAACGCGACUUCUUGCGCUUGGACUGAACAGGUUGCACUGGGGGUGGAAUUGGGUGCAUGCGAGGGGCAGAAUCACUGCAGUUGCUUGAGCUCUCAUUAUUUGAUGCACCGGUUGCACUUGUGUCGAACGUUCCAACACCGGCACCAUCAUCCAUGUAAGAGUACGAAUCAGCCCCCAAUCCAUCUACGAUUGUAUACAUUCACAAUCUACGAAUCAGCCCCAGAUUAAAAUGUACAACGAUUUUAAUAAACACAAAAGGGCUGUAUCUUACCACUGCCUGCAGGUGACCCCUCAACUUGUUCAUCAUCAACUUCAUCACCUGCGAAUGCUCCUUCACCAGUUGCAGUUUCGUUGCCGAUGAUGAGGCUCAAUUGUUCAAAGUAUGGAAAAUGCUUCCCACGAACAUUACGUGAUUCAGGAUGAGCCUACAAAGCACACUUGUGUUAAUCAUUUUGUCAAGUUUACGACCCAACAAUUACCAAACUCAUAAACAAAUGUGCCUUACCACAAAGUACCGUUCCCAAACAUCCUCAUCUGCAGCAAUAACAGUCUUGUUUUCGGUGUCAAAAGUAAAUCCCAAACCAGACAAAUCCAGAAGUUCCUUUACAAUCUUGUAGUCCUUCCUAAGUGUCUUCAGGCGAGUCCGUACAUGUUCAGAACUAACAUUCAUACGGAGGGCUGAAUUGACACCAUCUGCAGCUGCUUUCAAUGAUUCGGUUCUUAAGCCAUUGUCAGCUCUCUUACCGUUUCUCAACACUUCUUCAUACAAAGUGUUCAACAUCACCUCUUCCAUUUGUUUGGUCCACCUUAUGUGGCACUUAACUGGCUUGUCAGUUGGGAAGUAAGGGUCCGCUGAAUCUUGUCCAUUGCCCUUCCUGGUCUUUCUAGGCUUCUUGAACUGUCCGUUCGACAUAGUUGUACCUAAUCAUCCCACACUCACAGUUAUAGACAGAUAUGAACCAUACACAAGCGUAUUAUUCCAAACAACUUAUCAAAUAGUCCAAAUGGAACAUCCAAACAUAAUCUCGCUCAUAACACUAUCAAAUAGUCCAAACCACAAAUUAUUCCAACUUAUUACAAUUAUUGGCAAAUUACCUCUUCCAUUAUUCGAACUUAUUUCAAACAACCCAAACAAAUUAUUUCAAACAACUCAUCAAAUACUCAAGCACAACACUACCACACUCACAACCCUAAUAAAAUCAACGAAACCUCAAAACUAUUCCAGCUCAUGGUAAUUCUGAUAAUUAGUCCACAUUUCCUUCUUCAAGUCAUCACGCCACUUACUCCAAGACCGUGAUGCGGAUAUGAGUAUUCCACCGCCUUGCGCAUUAUCUGCCUCGGGGGGAACGGGUUCUUCGGGUUCCUCUAAAUCAGGUUCCACUACAUCAGCUGGAUCGAUAUCUUUGAGGAAGUUGUGAAUUGCACAACACGCCAAUAUUAUCUUUGUGUGUGUCUUCACAUCAUGGAAUGGUGCCUUCCUCAAAUAAGCGAAGCGUUUCUUCAACACCCCUAUGAUCCUCUCCACAACAUUACGUAGCCUGGAAUGCCGACAGUUGUACAGUUCUUCAUCAGUUUCAACAGCCCGAUGUCCUUGUUCUUUGAGAUGGUAUCGAACCCCACGAUAAGGUGUGAGGAAGCCGGGACUUAAUGCAAAGCCAGCAUCCGCAAGGUAAUACUUACCAGGGGGCAAGGUUAAUCUCCUACCUUCACGAGUAACCGCACAUCUCAACAACCGCCCAUCAUGCGCCGACCCUUCCCACCCAGCUAGAACGUAAGUGAAUCUCAUGUCGAACGUACAUCCAAUUAGAACAUUCUGGGAUAUCACUCCUUUCCGAUUACGAUACCUCGGUUGAUCAUCAAGGGGCACUAAGGUGGGGAAGUGGGUACCAUCGAUUGCGCCUACAGCGUCCUAAUUAACAAUUUACUUGGUCAGAAAAAUACGAAAGAGUUUUUCGUACCUAUAAGAAGAUGAUAAAAUACGAAAUAAUUUUUCGUACCUUGAAAUACUGAUGCCAAAAGACAUCCCCAGGACCGUCAUUGAGGGGUGAGUUCUCAGCCGUGGCGUUGACAACCACUUGCCUAUACAAUUUUAGACAAGCAUUCAAAACCAAGUGGAAGUAAUGGCUCACGGUUUGUCCAGAACGCCUAAACUCGUGACGUGUUCUUCUACACCGAUUGUCAUGGCCGACUAUGAGCAAGAACAUUGCAACUUGUUCUUCAACUGACACAUACCGAGAGUCGGAUAAACCCAAAGUCUUCAACCUAGCACAUAACCGAUGGAAUGCAAAACGCCUCAUCCUCAAUUGGUCAUGGCAAUCGUUGUCGUUAUCGGUGUAGAACCGGGCUAAGGUUCGCCCACGCGACGAAUCUCUAUUAUAGGUAUAGGGAGCCCUAGGACCUCUAGGAACACGUUCACGUCUCGUUCCAAUAUAGUGCAUUAACCAAUCGACAGCUACAAUUACAAUCGUAGCUGCAACGAUACGUUCAUCCUCGGUAGGCAUUCUACAGAACAUGUGGUAAGUUUAUUUGGUUAAUAAUUUUAAUUGUUAGUAGUGUAUGAAUGCGUAAGAGUGCUUUUUAAAUGAAAAAUUAUUAUAAAAACUGGUUAAUAAUUUACAUCAUCAAUUUCACUUUUUACAUAAAUCUCACAAGACAAAUAACAAUUUAAUUAACAAUGCAAUAACAACAACCAACAUAACCAACACCAACUUCUUGACCCACCACCAAAAGUCGUCCACCACAACAACAUUGUUUAAGGGCCGAUGACUGACUAGUGGAGAUAGAGGUGCUUGAGAUUGAGCGGCGGAUUGGUAAGAUUGACCAGAAUGUUCAGACGGUUCUGGCGCAGGAAUGUAAGACUGGGACAUAAGAUGAUUGGGAUCACACAUAAGGCCAGAAGGUUGAUAGAAACCAUUUGUAAGAUGUUGCUGAAGCAUAUGCCUUGCUUCAGCAAUGGUAUAAGCACCACGCCAGUCAGCGUUGCUAAAGCCGUCCGUCUGUGACUUGCACUCCUCCCAAGUUCUGUAGAUACCCGGACAGAACCCACGACGCACAACAUAAUAGGAAUAUUUACCCAUUCUCUGAAAAGUGGUAAUUAGAUGUUUUCAACAUAAUGAGUUUAUAUAUAUCAGCUUUCAAUUUAUUUUCAGCUUUCAAUUUAUUUAACUAUAUUUUCAGAUUUCAAUUUAACUAUUCUUUCAGAUUUCAAUUUUUAUUUAACUUUAGAUUUUGUUAACAUUAUGAGUUACCAUUACAUCAACUUAUUUCUUAUAAUAUAGUUCUCACAACUAAUCAAGUUACUAGUCUGUACUAUGUGUGUAAUUAAGAAAUAACUAAUACAAUCAUUAGUCUGUAUAUGCGUAGGAAUUAAUAUAAAGUCCUACGAUGUGUGUACAAACUAAUCAGGAUACUAGUAUGUACUAUUAUUUGUGUAAACAAUUAACAAUCUAUAGAUGACAAAAACAAUCUAUAUUAAAAAAAAUUCUUAAAGAAUUAUUAUAUGUUGAAACUUGAAAGCAUGAUUAUAUAAUAAAAACAAUCUAAACUCAAUUCAUAUACAUCACUUAAUUAUUAAAACAUGUCGGUAGAUACCUACUGCAUAUACAGAUACCUACUGCUGACAAAAACAUGUUUUCUAAUCUGCACUAAUACAUGGUAAAAGAAAUAACCAACCUUGAAAAGCAAAUGACGAGAGAAAGUAAAGACGAGUGAAGGGGAGAAAGCGAUGGACAAGAGAAAGCGAAGCUGCCAAAAAACAUUCAUAUAUCACUACUGCAUACAAUUUUUAGAACAAAUAAAAUAAUAAAAAAAAAACUCAAAUCAAAAUCAUACAUUUUUGAGCUGAUGUUUAAACGAUACUGGUCUGCAAAAGAUACUGGUCUGCAAAAGAAAAAUCCGUGCGACAAAAACACACAUAAACAUUCAUCAGAUAUUAUCAACAUAGAAUCUAGACAUUACAUACAAAUAUAGACAAACAAAAGAAUUUUUAGAAAGGUGCAAAAAUGUAGGAGGAUAUACCAGUAAGAAUCAUGAACAAUGUGAUACAGUAUAGGAACAACUACUACCAUGUUGCUACCAAACACUAUGUGCAAAUAUAACAAGAAAAAAAUCUGAGUACAAUUUAAACUUGCUCGGUUAUUCCAUUCUUUGCUGAAUAAGAAAUUAAGCAGGUAGAGAUAUACAUACAGUAACACUAUUAUAUUGGUCAUUGGUGUACGUAAGUGUAGUUGUAUCAAAAUCAAACCAUCAUUCUAGUAUAUAUUAUAGUAGCAGUAGCAGUAGCAGUAGUGGAUUAAAAUAUCUGACGAUUUAUCUAUCUAUCGCAGUACACGGGACAUUUCUGGGCAGUAAUGAACAUUUGUAUUACAUAUGAUGAAAAAAGAUGUUCUCUUGGAUUUUUAUAGUCUCCCUCAUUUGUGCUAAUGAGUCUGGCUGAUUUGUCUGUCAAUCAAUUCACACUGUAAUUUUUUUUCAGUACGUGCUCCUAAAGGUAAGUUGUUUUUUCGCACUUUUGAAUCACAUGUUGAUGUUCUUGUGGAGAGCAACAAUGCACCAAGCUGUCAGUGGUCUAGUAACUGUGCUCGUAAAUUAUUUAAAAGAUUUGUAUAGCCUUCCAAGGUGCUUUUUGCUACCAAUUUAGCUACACACCCCCUCAUUGCCAAUUCCUUUUUCAGUAUAAUUUCAAAUUUAACAUACACCAAUACAUAUAGCUGGAUUGCUACUGUUGAUGAUAAAUUUAGUAGCAAGACCAUCAAUAAUUCUAGUACUUAUUACUAACUACCUUUCACACCAAAACCUAGUUAUCUGCCUAAUCUGAUAAUUUAGGAACUUUAGUUGCAUUACCUCUCAUCAUCUGCAGAAUCCAAAUACAGUAAAUGUUAGGGUCCUGAUCCUGCAAAAAAAUGAAUGAAAUUUCUAAGUUAACAUCAUCAGAACAAAGAGCAUGUCUUGUAAAAGUGUUUAACCUGCCUUAUUGAAAGUAAUUCAAUCACUUCAAUUAUUGCAAAGACGCAAGCAAAUAUCUACCUGACUAACAUUAAUAUAUGUAUAUAUACUCUCAAGAGUCGAGAGUCAAGACUACUACUACAAUGCACACUACACAUUAACACACUCAAUGAUUCAACAACCAAUUACUCUUCCCUCCAACCAGUCAGUUCUAGAUUUCUAGCUCCCAUGUAUGUCAGUUUCUCCCUCAACAUCCCCGCUAUCCAGUAAAAAAUAAUAUGAUGAAUGAGCACAAUAAGACAGCACAACUACAUCAAAAAGAGCACGUGAAAACCACCAAUAUGAUAAACAGGAAAGACAACUUCCACAAUUUGGCCUAAUUUGAGUGUACUUAAGCACAUCAACGUUCAUAGCACUGUGGAAGAUGAUCACAACCAUUAAAAUAAUCUUCUGUUUAAAAUUCAAGGAUGGUUUCAAAUAAGACCAACCACAACUAAUCAAUGUCAGCAAGAUAGCAAAAGGAACUUCACUAAACAAAACUCCCCCGUAAGCUAAAGUGGUAACGAAAAAGCCUUGUGAGUAGCCAAAGUGUUUGAUGAAAAUAUUCCGAACUAGCCCAGUUAAAUGACUCAACACUUUGAUGAUCAAAACUACAAGUAUAGCAAUGUGAAUGCGCAAAAGUUGAUUCCCUUUCAGUUUGAUAUAAUAAACAUGAAUAUUCCAAAGCGAAAAGAAAAUCAAACACAUAUAAAUCAUUAAACACAAAGUGAAUCCUAGGAAGUAAAACCUUGGUCCCGGAUAAAUAAUUCCUCUUAUCAAAUUCAAGAUCAUACAUAGAGCUUUUUACAACCAUGGAAAACCGAAACUCCUUGUUAGAAAGAUAAUUAAUGAAAUAAAGACUGUAGAGUUCUUGUUGUUGUUUUUCUUCUUUAUCUUCAUUGGAGAAAACGAAAUCAAAGUUUUUGGUACCAUUGAUGAGUUUAUGAAAAGAGAAACCUGCUAUAGACUUUUCAAUAAUACUAUAAUCAUCAUAUCUAGUAAAGAGAAAGAAACCAACUGUAGAGAAAUUCAAGUUGAGAUUUGAAUUGGAAAGAUAGAUAUCAGAAACAUUAAUUUCUAUACGACCUCAUUUUCCUCCAUUAGUGAAUUGAAAAGAAUCAAUGAAUAAUAUACUUUAAACAGAAACAUUAUUGUUAAAUAUACUUUAAACAGAUAUCAAUUGAAAAGAAUCAAUGAAUAAUAGAUAUCAGAAACAUUAUUGUUAAAUAUAUUUGAAUUCAUAUCAUAUACACGAAUCUCUGCAAAUGUAAACGUGAAUUGCAUGCAAUUGGAGUGAUUUUAAACAGAAUCUAGGGUUAGGGUUAUAGUCGAUAAUGAUAUAUCAGAAAACCCCAAUCUAGGGUUAGGUUUUUCGAAAAAAAAUUCAAAAUUUUCGAUUCAAACAACAAGUAGAAAACAACAAGUAAAGAAAGAACAACAACAACAACCAAAUCAAACAAAGAAGAGAAGAAGAAGAUGAAGAAGAAGAAGAAGAAGAAGAAGAAGAAGAAAUCUGUUUGAAAAAUACUAACCUCAAAACUUCGAAAAAGUAUAAAGAAGAAGAAGAAGAUGAAUAAUAUGAAGAAGAUAAACAAGAAGAAGGAGAAAUAUACCUGUUUUAGGGUUCGAAAUCGGUGUCGCCAGGUUAAUCGCCUCUACUGCGCCGCCAUCACCUGUUCUAGGGUUUUUUCUUGUUUAAGCUUGGUUGUUUUUGGCAAAGAUGUAAUAUAUACUUGGCAAAUUGUAGAGGGUUAAGUGGCAAAGCAAAUUUUGCCUGGGGGGUACCCAAGCAAA
rnacentral:lncRNA from 1 species